AGCCAAACUCUCCAGCUACAUUGAUUCCCCUACCAGGUUCACUCCACUCUGCCUAGAAAAACAUUAUCUCGUAAUCCCUCUCUCCUCUGCGGUUCUGCUUUCACCACAAAAAGGUGAAAGGUGGGCAAAUGCAAGCCGUAAUAGCAGUCAUGGCGACGCACACCAUCCUCGCAGCAACAUCAUCUCACAUUUCGUUCGCCCCAUUCGCAAGCCCUGCGUCGUCACCGUCGCAUCCUCUCCGAACCUCAUUCCUUGUGGUCCCCCUCAAGCUCCAUCGACAGUCUAUAUCUCUCUCUGCUGUAGCUCCGAAGCCCUUCUCUGUUGUGGCUGCCACCAAGAAAGCUGUUGCUGUCCUCAAGGGUAACUCCAGUGUCGAAGGCGUUGUCACGUUAACCCAAGAAGACGACGGUCCUACAACUGUGAACGUUCGUGUUACUGGGCUUACUCCAGGACUGCAUGGAUUCCACUUACAUGAGUAUGGUGAUACAACAAAUGGGUGCAUGUCUACAGGAGCACAUUUCAAUCCGAACAAUAUGACUCAUGGUGCUCCUGGUGAUGAAAUCCGUCAUGCGGGUGACCUGGGAAACAUAAUUGCUAAUGCUGAUGGGGUGGCAGAGGCAACAAUCAUGGACAGUCAGAUACCAUUAAGUGGACCUAAUUCAGUAGUUGGAAGAGCAUUUGUAGUUCAUGAGCUUGAGGAUGACCUUGGAAAGGGUGGCCAUGAACUUAGUCUAACCACUGGGAAUGCAGGCGGAAGAUUAGCUUGUGACCAAAACUCAAGAAGGACGAUUAGUCAUGCUGAGGCUCGAAACACGUGAUACUUCCUGGACUGCCCUUUCCACUAGCACCCUUGAUACAUUAUGGUUCUAUAACAGAAGGUGUCGUUGGCUUAACUCCAGUGUGAGUCAUGUUCCGAAAUCGGUGUGGUUUUCAGCAUGGGUUCUUACUUUCAACCAUUUCUCAUAUAGAGCAAGAUGCUUCAAAGUUGAGGAUAUAACAAAAAAUCUUGGAGAUGGAAGGUGAGAGCCAAAUAAUGUUUGUAGAUUUUUAUCUUGUUUGUUGGUGUUCUUAUGCAAUAAACUCAGAAGAGGUGACCAUGCUUUGCAUGUCUAAUGAAUAAUAAGAAAUGUUUGGCUUUGAAUGAGUUCUUGUUCAGACUUGUUAUAAAA